AUUAGUUAUCCUGUGGCAUCACUUGAGCUGUGAGUUGGCAUUUCUAUGGGAACAUGAAGUUCAGUGAUGGGAGUUGUUGUCUGUGUGUCUGUGUCAGGGGUAAACAGCCAACAGAAGGAGGUGAAGCAGCAUCCUGAGUCCCUCAGUGUUCCAGAGGGAGCCACUGCCUCUCUCAACUGCACUUAUAAGAAUAGUGCUUAUCAGUACUUCAUGUGGUACAGACAGUAUUCUGGGAAAGGCCCUGAGCUUCUGGCAUCUACAUACUCCAACGGUGAUAAAGAUGAAGGAAAAUUCACAGUGCACCUCAACAAAGCCAGCCUCUAUCUUUCCCUGCACAUCAGAAACUCCCAGCUCAGUGACCCAGCAACCUAUCUCUGUGCAAUGCGUACACAAUGCUCCCCCAACACCUGCAGCCUGUAUCCAAACCUACAGGGGCCCCAGUAA